GUUCUGCGACUUACUCUGCUCCCUUCUCGUCCGGUUGUUGACAUCCCUGAUUUCUUGCAUCAAGAGAGAAAUCAGGGAGCUUCCCAAACCUCAUUCUUGCUAUUGUUCUAAGCAACAAAAAAUAAAAUGCUUUCCCAGGUGGCCUCCAAAUUUUCAGGUUCUCCUUAAUUCCAUCAUCCGGUGCAGGUGGUUCUUGUGAUUCUAUAUUUUUUCGUUUCUAUGCAUUAUAAUUCUUAAAACAAAAUAACCAAACCCACAC
rnacentral:lncRNA from 1 species